UACGUAGGGUGCAAGCGUUGUCCGGAUUUAUUGGGCGUAAAGAGCUCGUAGGCGGUCUGUCGCGUCGGAUGUGAAAACCCAGGGCUCAACCCUGGGCCUGCAUUCGAUACGGGCAAACUAGAGUAUUGCAGGGGAGACUGGAAUUCCUGGUGUAGCGGUGAAAUGCGCAGAUAUCAGGAGGAACACCGGUGGCGAAGGCGGGUCUCUGGGCAAUAACUGACGCUGAGGAGCGAAAGCGUGGGGAGCGAACAGG
rnacentral:rRNA from 1 species